rnacentral:rRNA from 1 species
UACGUAGGCAGCAAGCGUUGUUCGGAGUUACUGGGCGUAAAGGGCGCGUAGGCGGCCAACUAAGUCAGACGUGAAAUCCCUCGGCUCAACCGGGGAACUGCGUCUGAUACUGGAUGGCUUGAAUUCGGGAGAGGGAUGCGGAAUUCCAGGUGUAGCGGUGAAAUGCGUAGAUAUCUGGAGGAACACCGGUGGCGAAGGCGGCAUCCUGGACCGAGAUUGACGCUGAUGCGCGAAAGCCAGGGGAGCAAACGGG